rfam:Tetrahymena thermophila SB210 genomic scaffold scf_8254564, whole genome shotgun sequence.
AAUAUUGUUUUGAUGAAAAUUUAAGAUCAUUACUCUUCGGAGAUUGAUGAAAUUAAUUCUGCUUCCCUGAUU